rnacentral:ribozyme from 1 species
AAAAAAAAGGUCACGACUUCGCAGCACGUUUCUUGUUUCUACCUUUUGUGCCUUUUUGGCCUCUUUUGCCCUUUGUA